GACGAACGCUGGCGGCGUGCUUAACACAUGCAAGUCGAACGGAAAGGCCCUGCUUGCAGGGUACUCGAGUGGCGAACGGGUGAGUAACACGUGGGUGAUCUGCCCUGCACUUCGGGAUAAGCCUGGGAAACUGGGUCUAAUACCGGAUAGGAGCCAUUUUUAGUGUGAUGGUUGGAAAGUUUUUUCGGUGUAGGAUGAGCUCGCGGCCUAUCAGCUUGUUGGUGGGGUAAUGGCCUACCAAGGCGGCGACGGGUAGCCGGCCUGAGAGGGUGGACGGCCACAUUGGGACUGAGAUACGGCCCAGACUCCUACGGGAGGCAGCAGUGGGGAAUAUUGCACAAUGGGCGCAAGCCUGAUGCAGCGACGCCGCGGGGGGGAUGACGGCCUUCGGGUUGUAAACUCCUUUCGCUAGGGAAGAAGCUUUUUGUGACGGUACCUAGAUAAGAAGCACCGGCUAACUACGUG
rnacentral:rRNA from 1 species